rnacentral:tRNA from 2 species
GCUCGGUUCGUCUAGUUGGCCUAGGACGCAGGAUUUUCAUUCCUGAAAUCAUGGGUUCAAAUCCCAUACCGAGUA